AACGAACGCUGGCGGCGUGGAUUAGGCAUGCAAGCGAACGCGAAAGAGGGGGCAACCCCUCGAGUAGAGUGGCGAACGGGUGAGUAACGCGUGAAGAACCUGCCUUCAACAGGGGGAUAACACUCCCAACGGGGUGCUAAUACCGCAUGAGACCACGGGUUCGCAUGGACCUGAGGUCAAAGGUGGCCUCUGCUUGCAAGCUACCGGUUGAAGAUGGCUUCGCGUCCCAUUAGCUAGUUGGUGGUGUAACGGACCACCAAGGCAACGAUGGGUAGCUGGUCUGAGAGGAUGGUCAGCCACACUGGGACUGAGAUACGGCCCAGACUCCUACGGGAGGCAGCAGUCGAGAGGCUUCGGCAAUGGGGGAAACCCUGACCGAGCGACGCCGCGUGGAGGAUGAAGGCCCCUGGGUUGUAAACUCCUUUUGCUGGGGAAGAAACGCGGUCUGGUGAACAACCUGGCCGUUUGACGGUACCCGGCGAAUAAGCUCCGGCUAACUCCGUG
rnacentral:rRNA from 1 species